GGGUGAUUAGCUCAGUGGUAGAGCGCUUCGUUCACAUCGAAGAUGUCAGGAGUUCAAAUCUCUUAUCACCCACCA
rnacentral:tRNA from 293 species